UCGGGUUUCGGUUAUUAGGCGAAACGGCGUCGUUUUGGUCAUAAAACUUAAGCCCAAAAUGGCGCCAUAUGAUGGCCUGCAUAAAUAGCAAAAAAUAAAGAAAAAAAAAUAUUUUCAUUACAUUUAAAAAAACAACAGAGAACUCUCUGUUCUCUUUCCCCUUUUCCGUCAGAUACCACAGCCGGCUACCAACGCCGGGGCUCCGCCGUGAGAGGUGGCCUUGGCAAGAAAAGGUGGGUUUUUAACGCCAUUCUCGACCCCCCUAAAGAUCUACCCAUUUAGUCCCGAAAAAACGAAAAAGGAGGGGUUUUUCCUACCCCCUUUUCAGUCCGAUUCCAACGCCGAAGGUGGUCUCCGGCGACGGGCUUUCAAGACCAGUGAUUGACAUGCGUCGGUGAUGGGACAAUGGCGGUGACAAACGCGCGGCAGUGGCAGUUGGUAGGUCAAGGAUCGGAAGAGUCAGAAGGCCCUAGGUGCGGCGCACCUAGAGCUAGGGUUUUUCUGUUUCUUUCUUUUAUUUUGAAAAUGGGUUUUGGGCUUGUAAUUGUAUUGGGCCUGGGUUAAUUUGAUUGGGCCAUGGGGAUUUUGGGCUUGUAAUUGGGUCAAAAUUUUGAAAAUGGGCUGUUUGUAAUUUGGUUUAUUUUCUGAUACGGGCCCGGGCAAAAAUGGGCUUGUACAAUCUACUAGUUUAAUCACAAUAUUUUUAUUUAUGAACUAACCAAUUUACUUUGUA